rnacentral:lncRNA from 1 species
AUUUAUAUCUAGGUGCGUAGCAAAAGCUAUGAAUCUAGAAAAGGCAAAACGUCUUAUAAUUUGGAAUGGAGGGAGUAACUUGAUUGUCAAGUGAAUGCUGCAGCUGGUUUACCUUUUUCGUUGCUGCUUCGUUGCAUGCUUUUUGGUAGUUAUUAGCCUCUUCCUAUUGAAUUAUUCAAAUCAGUAAAAUGAAGUAAAUGGAAAAUGCAAUUGAGUGGCGAAAUUAACUAUAAUUUUUAUUGGAUUGGCAGCUUUACUCCUUCAGUUUGGUGUAGCCACGAAAUCUCUGGUGCCUAAAUUAUCUCUAGCACAUCACUGAACCACAUAUGUGAACAUGAUGCUGAAGACACUCCAAACUUAGCAAUUUCACGAGCAAAAUAAUUAGAAGUGAAUAAAUAAUAAAACUUAUACAUUUUGAGAAUUUUAGCAACUGAGGUUAUGUUGAGUAAUGCAGGUUGGAGUUGGAUGAUUAAAUAUUUGAGUACUGAAAUCCUGAUAGGAUUUGUUGUUUCGAAAAAGCUGAAUUUUGAAAAGCUCUGUGACUGCUUUUAGAUAAGUCUGAUGGAAUAGAUGACCAUUAUGAAGCACCACUGAAUUGCGAGGUGUAUAGUUUAAUCAUUACUGUCAUCUUCACAUAGCAAGAAGAUGAGGAUCAAACAGCAAAGACAAACUUGCUAGUUACUAGUAGAAAUAGAGCAAGAAAAUGGAGGAGCUCAUCUUGGUACUCCCAUGAUCUAAACUAUGUUUGAGGCUGUAGCAGAGAUGUGACCUCCUCAAUCCAGUGGUGAAUGGAGUGAAGUCAAGAUGGCAAUGGGCACAAACCCACUGGGUUUUACUGCCCCAAACCCAUGCCCAUGAAAACCAAAUGGACCCAUUAUAAAACCCAUGACCCAUCUUCCUGGGAGCCGGAGAGCAACGCCAUGAGCAAAGUGUGGAGCUGGGAGAGUGAGAGCGUGAGACACUAUCUAGAAGAGAAGGAUGUGGAUUCUGGAAUCUGGAGUGCUGUGCGUGUGCGUUGGUGACGGAGACGUGAGUCUGUGAGACCGCGACUUCUCCAUGUGCGGCUCAAGUUUAUGUGCGGGGGCUGGGGGUGGGGAUUGUGUUAGGUUAGGGUUUGAGGUUAGUCUGUAUUUUAUACUGCUGGGACUUGGGCUAGGCUGUAUGGUGGGCUGAGGAACAUACAUGGGCUGGCCUAUUUACUGGAGUGGAGCGGGUAAAAAUAACCCAUGGGUUCUCGGGUUCGGGUACUAUAGGAACAGACCCAUACCCGCCAGACCUGAUGGGUUCGAGUUUUGUCCCAUUAAUAGACCCAUGGGUUUGAAAUUUGACCCAGACCCAUGCCCCAAUAAAGCAAAAACCCAUCGGGUUUCGGGUACCCGUUGCCAUCUCGAGAGUGAAGGGAAGAGAGGAGGCAAUGGGAGCUCCUCAAUCCGCCUGCAUACAGGGAAGAGAAACCAGUGGAUGGAGGGAAGAGAGGUGG